UGUUGAUAUUGAUGAUGAUAAUGACGUUAUUAAAUAUGCAUAAAAACUCUAGAAGGAUACAAGCCUGCCUGGGAGUGAGGGGAUUUGAAACUGGGAGAUGUGUAACAAGGAUGGGAGGAAACUUUUCAGCAUAUAUUUUUCAUACUUUCUUGUUUUCAAACUAUGUGAAUGUUUUGCUUAUUCAAAUAUUUUUUAAAAACAAAUUUCUAUUUUGCAUGCAGACAAGAACUGGAAUAUAUGUAUAUAAGCAAAAAUAACAGUAUCAUUAUGAUGAAAUUAUGAUUGAAUUAAUUUUUAAAAACAGUCCCAAAAGAAAACCCUUCUCUUUUGAUUACUUUAUUUUGAUUAAACAAUGAUCAUUUUUUAUCUAGGACUUCCCCUUUUUCCUAUUACCUCCAGGAAACUUAUAGUUGUUUGUUACUGGAAUUUUAUCAGCCUCAUUGUUUUGGGUUAUUUAUUUUCCCCUUUCUAUGACUUUUUUGUUUUCUAUUCUGAUGGAGCUAUUAUACAUGUACCAAUUAUUAGAACCACCUCAAAUCUUUGGAUAGUGAUGAGGGUUUCAAUUACACUAAUCUCAGAGGACAUCUGACUUACAGGGGAUGGCACAGCAAUUUGUUUGCCAGGAGGGAUUAAUCAAUUGCCAUUUGGGAUGGAAAAAGUCUUUGCAAAUUAUGAUCCCAAUUUUCCACUUUGAAUAUUUGGCAGGAGGUUGGGACCAGAAUCUAUUUUUUCACAUUUCCAGCUAUUUCACCAAGAGUUCUACGGGAAAGGCACCUGGAGCAUGAGGUCAGCAUCAGAGAUCAUUGGCUGGGGCCUCCUGUGCCAAGCCAGGCUCUACACGGCAGCCUGCCUUUGGGAUGACCUUGGGGCACCUGGAGCAUGAGGUCAGCAUCAGAGAUCAUUAAAAAUGUUUAAUUAAUUUUAAUUGGUGGCCAUCUCCCCCAUCUCUCUUUUACUUCAUGGGCAUAUUGGGCAACCUUCCUCAUACUCCCUCAGGUUCUCCUAUUUUGCUUACAUUGGUUUAUUCCAGAUUUUUCUUUUGUUUGUAUUUUUUUAUUGGUUUUGAUCAGCUCCUUUUUUCUUCCUUUAAGGUGUAUAAUGAGGAGAAAAAAGCCACAACCAUUCAGGUUAUUCAUGUUUUAAAGAUAAGAAUCUGAUACUCUAGACAAAAACUGGAUGUGGUAAAGACUACCUGUGUGUCUGCAUGUGUAUUUCUUAAGAACAUAAGGCUUAUUUGGAAGAAAUAAUAAAAUCGUGAUAGCUGACGUUUAGAGGAUGCGUCCCUCAUCGCUAUUUUAGGGUUUGGUCAAGUGCUGUUGCUUUUUCUAGAUUAUGAGGUAGAAACUGAGGCACAGAGAGAUUGCAUCACGGUUACCAUCACAUGCUCAGUAAGUGGGGAGCCAGGAUUCUAACCUGUCUGGCCUCAGAGCCCUCACUUUAAAUCAGUGUAAUCAAUGCUCCUCAUAGCCUACCCUCCAUCGAGCCCAGCCAAGAUGAUGUCUUUUCUCUCUGGAAAAGUUCUCACUUUAUUGUUAAGUAAUCAUAUGCCGAUUAAAUUUAUAAGGCCAUAAAUAUUCAUUGCAUGCUACUACGUGUAGGGUACGCAUAUACAGAGAAGUAGAAAUCACGUUCCCUGUCCGCUCUUAGCUUGUCUUUCUGCUGGAAAGCCAAGAAGCAAAGAUGGGGGAAGUGAAAUCUCUAUGUCGAUUUACAAGCCAUUGGAUGCAGUGCCAAAGGCACCUAAUUAAUUGCCAAUGAGCUACAUAAAUAUUUAUUGGCCUAACUAAGAGUUCAAGGAAGGGAUAGAGCGCUUGGAUUGGCACUAAAAUGAAAAUCUGCUAGAACAGCGAUACAAAAAUGCUGGAACUUACACCAGGCUAUGGCCAAGAGGAAAUCGCAGGGAAACUGGAGAGAGAGAAUGAUGGGGUGAGGGCAGAAAGGAAUCACAUCCCAGAUGUGGGUGCCCAGCCUCAACAUAAGGUCCAGAUUCCAGGUCUCAGAGAAGAUGUGGGGACAGGC
rnacentral:lncRNA from 1 species